rnacentral:rRNA from 1 species
UACGGAGGGUGCAAGCGUUAUCCGGAAUCACUGGGUUUAAAGGGUGCGUAGGCGGUUAUGUAAGUCAGAGGUGAAAGGUCACAGCUCAACUGUGAGAUGGCCUUUGAAACUGUGUAACUUGAAUCAGAUAGAGGUUAGUGGAAUGCGACAUGUAGCGGUGAAAUGCAUAGAUAUGUCGUGGAAUACCGAUUGCGAAGGCAGCUAACUGGGUCUUGAUUGACGCUGAGGCACGAAAGCGUGGGGAGCGAACAGG